GCAAGUCGAACGGUAACAGCUCUAGCUUGCUAGAGGCUGACGAGUGGCGGACGGGUGAGUAACGCGUAGGAAUCUACCUAAUAGUGGGGGACAACCUGGUGAAAACCAGGCUAAUACCGCAUACGCCCUACGGGGGAAAGCAGGGGAUCUUCGGACCUUGCGCUAUUAGAUGAGCCUGCGUCCCAUUACCUAGUUGGUAGGGUAACGGCCUACCAAGGGAACGAUGGGUAGCUGGUCUGAGAGGAUGAUC
rnacentral:rRNA from 1 species